rnacentral:lncRNA from 1 species
CAGAAAAUAUUUGACUUCAAAACGAAAAAAAAAAAAGCGUACUGAAUUCUAGUUGAUUCACAUUUCCAGCUAAGGUUAUUUAUAAAUAAAAUAAACGAAGCGAGUAGUAUACAACCUAUUUCUUAAAAAAAAAAAUAAAUAAAUAAAAAAGAAAGAAAAGAAAAUAAAAAAAGAAUUGCUAGAUGAUUGAUAGGAGUUUUGAAGCGUACUGAAUCUUGGAGAA